rnacentral:rRNA from 1 species
UUGAACGCUGGCGGCAUGCCUUACACAUGCAAGUCGAACGGUAGAGGGGCAACCCUUGAGAGUGGCGAACGGGUGAGUAAUGCAUCGGAACGUGCCCAGUCGUGGGGGAUAACGCAGCGAAAGCUGUGCUAAUACCGCAUGUGAUCUGUGGAUGAAAGCAGGGGACCGCAAGGCCUUGUGCGAUUGGAGCGGCCGAUGUCAGAUUAGCUAGUUGGUAGGGUAAAAGGCCUAC